ensembl:misc_RNA 7SK 7SK RNA
GGAUGUGAGGGCGAUCUGGCUGCGACAUCUGUCACCCCAUUGAUCACCAGGGUUGAUUCAGCUGAUCUGGCUGGCUAGGCAGGUGUCCCCAUCCUCCCUUACCGCUCCAUGUGCGUCUGUCCCGAAGCUGUGAGCUCGGUUGAAGAGGACAGCCUUCCCAGAAUAGAGACGGACCAGUCUUCGGUCCAGGGUAUAUGAGUAGCUGCGCUCCCCUGCUAGAACCUCCAAACAAGCUCUCAAGACUUAUAAAGUAUCUGCUAUAUAAGAGUCAUUCACUGAGUAGUUAGUUAUCUUUGAAUUGCUGUGAUAGUCACUUUAUGAUAGAGCAAAUAAUUGU